rnacentral:rRNA from 2 species
GAUGAACGCCGGCGGUGUGCCUAAUACAUGCAAGUCGAACGCGUUGGCCCAAUUGAUUGAUGGUGCUUGCACCUGAUUGAUUUUGGUCGCCAACGAGUGGCGGACGGGUGAGUAACACGUAGGUAACCUGCCCAGAAGCGGGGGACAACAUUUGGAAACAGAUGCUAAUACCGCAUAACAGCGUUGUUCGCAUGAACAACGCUUAAAAGAUGGCUUCUCGCUAUCACUUCUGGAUGGACCUGCGGUGCAUUAGCUUGUUGGUGGGGUAACGGCCUACCAAGGCGAUGAUGCAUAGCCGAGUUGAGAGACUGAUCGGCCACAAUGGGACUGAGACACGGCCCAUACUCCUACGGGAGGCAGCAGUAGGGAAUCUUCCACAAUGGGCGCAAGCCUGAUGGAGCAACACCGCGUGAGUGAAGAAGGGUUUCGGCUCGUAAAGCUCUGUUGUUAAAGAAGAACACGUAUGAGAGUAACUGUUCAUACGUUGACGGUAUUUAACCAGAAAGUCACGGCUAACUACGUGCCAGCAGCCGCGGUAAUACGUAGGUGGCAAGCGUUAUCCGGAUUUAUUGGGCGUAAAGAGAGUGCAGGCGGUUUUCUAAGUCUGAUGUGAAAGCCUUCGGCUUAACCGAAGAAGUGCAUCGGAAACUGGAUAACUUGAGUGCAGAAGAGGGUAGUGGAACUCCAUGUGUAGCGGUGGAAUGCGUAGAUAUAUGGAAGAACACCAGUGGCGAAGGCGGCUACCUGGUCUGCAACUGACGCUGAGACUCGAAAGCAUGGGUAGCGAACAGGAUUAGAUACCCUGGUAGUCCAUGCCGUAAACGAUGAGUGCUAGGUGUUGGAGGGUUUCCGCCCUUCAGUGCCGGAGCUAACGCAUUAAGCACUCCGCCUGGGGAGUACGACCGCAAGGUUGAAACUCAAAGGAAUUGACGGGGGCCCGCACAAGCGGUGGAGCAUGUGGUUUAAUUCGAAGCUACGCGAAGAACCUUACCAGGUCUUGACAUCUUGCGCCAACCCUAGAGAUAGGGCGUUUCCUUCGGGAACGCAAUGACAGGUGGUGCAUGGUCGUCGUCAGCUCGUGUCGUGAGAUGUUGGGUUAAGUCCCGCAACGAGCGCAACCCUUGUUACUAGUUGCCAGCAUUAAGUUGGGCACUCUAGUGAGACUGCCGGUGACAAACCGGAGGAAGGUGGGGACGACGUCAGAUCAUCAUGCCCCUUAUGACCUGGGCUACACACGUGCUACAAUGGACGGUACAACGAGUCGCGAACUCGCGAGGGCAAGCAAAUCUCUUAAAACCGUUCUCAGUUCGGACUGCAGGCUGCAACUCGCCUGCACGAAGUCGGAAUCGCUAGUAAUCGCGGAUCAGCAUGCCGCGGUGAAUACGUUCCCGGGCCUUGUACACACCGCCCGUCACACCAUGAGAGUUUGUAACACCCAAAGUCGGUGGGGUAACCUUUUAGGAGCCAGCCGCCUAAGGUGGGACAGAUGAUUAGGGUGAAG